UACAGAGGUCCCAAGCGUUGUUCGGAUUCACUGGGCGUAAAGGGUGCGCAGGUGGGUUUGCAAGUUCGAUGUGAAAGCCCCGGGCUUAACCCGGGAAUGGCAUUGGAUACUGCAGAUCUGGAGGAUCGGAGGGGGACUGGAAUUCCGCGUGUAGCAGUGAAAUGCGUAGAGAUGCGGAGGAACACCGAUGGCGAAGGCAGGUCUCUGGGCAUUAACUGACGCUGAGGAGCGAAAGCAUGGGGAGCGAACAGG
rnacentral:rRNA from 1 species